UCAGGAUAAACGCUGGCGGCGCACAUAAGACAUGCAAGUCGAACGGACUUAACUCAUUCUUUUAGAUUGAGAGCGGUUAGUGGCGGACUGGUGAGUAACACGUAAGCAACCUGCCUAUCAGAGGGGAAUAACAGUGAGAAAUCAUUGCUAAUACCGCAUAUGCUCACAGUAUCACAUGAUACAGUGAGGAAAGGAGCAAUCCGCUGAUAGAUGGGCUUGCGCCUGAUUAGUUAGUUGGUGGGGUAACGGCCUACCAAGACGACGAUCAGUAGCCGGACUGAGAGGUUGAACGGCCACAUUGGGACUGAGAUACGGCCCAGACUCCUACGGGAGGCAGCAGUCGGGAAUAUUGCGCAAUGGAGGAAACUCUGACGCAGUGACGCCGCGUAUAGGAAGAAGGUUUUCGGAUUGUAAACUAUUGUCGUUAGGGAAGAUAAAAGACUGUACCUAAGGAGGAAGCCCCGGCUAACUAUGUGCCAGCAGCCGCGGUAAUACAUAGGGGGCAAGCGUUAUCCGGAAUUAUUGGGUGUAAAGGGUGCGUAGACGGAAGAACAAGUUGGUUGUGAAAUCCCUCGGCUCAACUGAGGAACUGCAACCAAAACUAUUCUCCUUGAGUGUCGGAGAGGAAAGUGGAAUUCCUAGUGUAGCGGUGAAAUGCGUAGAUAUUAGGAGGAACACCAGUGGCGAAGGCGACUUUCUGGACGAUAACUGACGUUGAGGCACGAAAGUGUGGGGAGCAAACAGGAUUAGAUACCCUGGUAGUCCACACUGUAAA
rnacentral:rRNA from 1 species